UACCUGCGCCCCGAGUAGUAUCCGGUUUUAUUUGGCCUAAAGCGUCCGUAGCCGGUCUUGUAAGUCCCUAGUGAAAUUCACUGGUAAACUGGUGAGCGUGCUGGGGAUACUGCGAGACUUGGGACUGGGAGAGGAUAGAGGUACUCCUGGGGAAGGGGUAAAAUCCUAUAAUCCGAGGGGGACCACCUGUGGCGAAGGCGUCUAUCUAGAACAGGUCCGACGGUGAGGGACGAAAGCUAGGGGAG
rnacentral:rRNA from 1 species